rnacentral:rRNA from 1 species
AUGAUGAUCAGCUUAUGUUGUGCUUAUCUUACUCAUGCUUUUGUACUAACAUUUUGUCCUUUCAGUGCUCAAGCAAAGCUCAGCAAGAGGGCGAAGAAAAAUAAACCGGUCGAAGAGCCGGUCUUGACUGAACCGGAGGCUUAUGCUCAUGAGCCGCCAUCUGCCUCAGCUCCUGAAACCACCGCUCCAACUGACGAGCAAGUCAUAGAGGGUUCUAAUAACCUGGAGAUCCCCAGCCCAGCUCAACCGGCCGAUGACCCAGACGUUGUAAUCACCCGGAUAGAGUUUGUCGAGCCGGGGAGACCCACUGUGCUGGCUAAAUGCUCUGCCAAGGAAGAACUGCUGGAGCGCCGCAGGGCCAGACUGGAUACCACUGACUAUGCUAACUUGAGCAUUGGAGACAUUGUUUCUGGUUACAUUGGUCAAGUGCACAACAGCCGGGACCUGGAGAUUCACAUGGUGAAGCAGAUACAACAAAAAUCUGAGGCUGCCUGCAGGAAAUUUGAAUCUGAAAUCUCUGAGCUGAAGAACCGCCUAAAGACUCAGGAAACUAAGACCCGGAAGGUCAAUGCCAAAUUUGAGUUCAGUGUUGCUGCGCAAGAAAAACUGAAGAAGAAAUUUGAAACAGAAAGAAAGACUUGGGACGAGGAGAAAACUGCCUUGCUCAGCCGGGCCGAACAAGCGGAGGUUGCUCUGAUUGAGAGAACGGCCGAACUCUCCGGCUUAAAACGCCAUGUGUCACAGAUGGUCUCCGCAAUCUUUGGUCCCAGAAGCUCCAACCUUAAUCAGAAUGUUCUGACCAAGCUGAAGGCUGUUUACACCUUGGUGGAGCAACUCUACACCGGGUCACAGCGUGCUUUAGCCGUUGUGGCUCUGUCCAAUGAGGUUCCGACUCACCUGGCAGACGUACUCAGGUGGCUUGCCAUUCUUCCUCAGCGCUUCCAAGAGCUAAGACGGGCCUCUGCAAGAUCCGGAGCUAUAGCUGCUCUGAGCCGGGCCAAGGCUUUUCUCCCGGAGCUAGACCCAGCCGACAUCGCUCUUGGAUACCCCAGCCUGAAGGAAGACGGGACCCCCUUCGACCAGAAAGACUUUGCUGCCUGUGUGAAAAGCGUACGCCCGGUGUCUACCAUGAUUCGGAAUGACACAGAUCUUACCAAGUAUCAGCCGGGCUAUGACGCGGAGAAUCAGAGGAUCGCAACUCCACGCUAUGAAGCAAUCAGCCUGAUCCCGCCGACUCGUAAGCACACCUUCGCCCCAGAAGUUGACCCGGCCGGGUUAAUUGAUGAUGAGGCUCAAUUUGAAGCUUUGAGCGGCAUUGACUGGAAAUCAUCAACCUUCCAGGUCAUGGGAACAGCCGGAGGAGCGGAGAGGGAUGAGCCGGAAGCUUCGACCCAACAAGCACCUUGA